rnacentral:rRNA from 1 species
AACGAACGCUGGCGGCAUGCCUAACACAUGCAAGUCGAACGAAACCAUCGGGUCUAGUCGCGCACGGGUGCGUAACCCGUGGGAACCUGCCCUUAGGUUCGGCAUAACUCCCCGAAUGGGGUGCUAAUACCGGAUCAUGUCUUCGAACCAAAGAUUUAUCGCCUUUGGAUGGGCCCGCGUUGGAUUAGCUUGUUGUUAGGGUAAAAGCCUACGACGGGGAGGAUCCGUAGCUGGUUAGAGAGGCUGGUCAGCGACACUGGGAGUGGGACGCGGCCCGGACUCUUACGGGAGGGGGGAGAGGGGAAUAUAGGACAACGGGCGAAGGGAUGAUCCACUACGGAUGGGUGAGUUAUGAAGGCAGGAGGGAAGUAAAGCUCUUUUAACCGUGAUGGUAAUGACGGUACCGGGAGAAUAAGCUCCGGCUAACUCCGUG